rnacentral:lncRNA from 1 species
CCCCGGCGAUGGCGCCAACGGUGGCGGCUGGUGGCGGUGAUGACGGCGGAGAUGGUUGGGCUUCUGACUUCUUGGGACCCCCUGCAAUUAAUUCUACCAUUGCACUUUCUGUUUUUAGUUAUUUUGUUACUGCUCUUAGUGGUGUUAUGGUCUUUCUUUAUUUGCUUAUGUAGAAGAAUUAAUUAGUCUAUGUUUAUUUUCAUGUUUUUAUAAUUUGCUUUUAGUAAUUGUUUCUCUAUUUGGAAGUCAAUUCAUUUCUUAGUUAUUUGUUAUUAGGGAGUUUGACAUUUAUUUAAUUGAUUACAAAACUCUCUUAGUUAUUUGUCAUUUUUCUUUACAAUACGAAAAUUUAUACUAUGUUAUUAUACAAUGUAGAGUGCGAACUAAGUAUAUUUAUAUAGCAAUACAAGAAUAAUGUAAUAUUUAAAGAUAAAAAUGAUCUAAAAGUAAGUAAUCUCUACGCGAUGUUCACCAUAUAACAACCCUAUAAUUAUUAAUCAUAUAAUGAUUCCUUUAUUAUUAUUUGUCACAUAACUAAUAUAUUUAGCUUUAAACUUCUUAUUUCACCCCUAAUGAGAUGAUAUAUAGUCACAUCAAUAUUUAUAGCUUAUUUUAGACUAUAAAUUUCUAACAUCUUUUAUUUCUUUAAAUUAAGUGCGCAAUUAAAUUCCGUUGCAUAAAUUAAAAUGGAAUAUAUAUAUAUAUAUAUAUUAGUUACCGAGGUAACUAAUAUGUGAACCGAACGAAAUCAAGAAGGUAAAAACAUAGUUUGUCCUUGAUCUUGAAAAAAUUGUGUGUAAAGGAAUUGUCCCCAUCGGAGGGAUGUGUUACAGAGAUUUAGGCCUCAUUUAUUUGCACUUAAUGGAGGUCUAAAUCUUAAUUAUCCAGAUCUCAGAUAUUAAAUGUGUUUAUUUUUAAAGUCUAAAUCUUAAUUAUUCAGAUUUUAAUCGUUAAUUGUGUCUUUUUUUUUACUUUACAACCACUUAGUGAGUCUGAAUAGGUCUGUAUGAUUAAGAUCUAUAACAGAGGCUUAAUUUCUUUAAGAUGCUAUCAUCCAUAUUCAUUAUUAAGCCGCCACCGCCUACCAUUAUCAACUACCACCAUGCCACCACCACCACCAUACUCAACCACCACCACCACCAUUGUCGACUACCGCCACCCACCACUCCCACCACCAUCAUUCUCAACGACAACCAACACUCAUCAACCUCAACUACCACAACUAAUCACCCUAUCACCAUCAACAACCAUAGCUGGCACUGUCCAUCAUUAUAAACUAUCACCAUCUUCCUCAAUCACAACUACGAUCACCACCACCUGCCACUAUUAACUAUCAUCAUCCACCACCAUCAUCCUCAAUCAUAAUAGCUACAACUACCAAUCACACUAGCUACUACCCUAAACUACCACCAUUAACCAAAUCUACCGCCAACUACCACUUUUAGUCGGCAUUCAUAAGCACUACCGUUAGCCAUCACUACUAGCAACUAUCAUAUUUUUUAAAAUUUUAUAUUUUAUUGAUGGAAUAUUUGAUUAAUUAGUAUUUUAUUUGAAUUUUAUGUUUAUUAAUUUUUAUAUAAAGGUAAAUUUUAUACAUUCAGAUGUUAAAAUUCAAACAGCCUUAAUCAUUUAGUAUUUAGAUCUUAAUACGCAUCUUAACAUUCAGAUAUGUGAUCACACCUAACUAUGCCUUAUAAAAGGACAAAGCGGUCGCUGCAAAUAUACUCCGGUUAACAAGUCCGGAGUCGAAUCUAACAGGAAAUUAACUUAUCAAUCACAGCUAUUGGACUCAUAGAAAUUCACGUAUUCAAUCUUCAGAGAUAUUUGAGUAACAAAUUGGGUGUUUAUUAACUAAAUUUUACGUAAUAAAAAUGCAGUAAUUAAGAACUAGCUAUAAACGGUUUGUAAGCAAGAAUGGGAAUGGUCUAAGGUUCUAAUUUCCCCUCUUAUCGGAAUCCUUUCCCCUAUGUUUGUAAUAAAUUUGCUUAAGUCUUCUCUAUUGAUCAUGAGCACUCUGACUGUCGUAACUCUUUCCCGAAUAAUUACAACAAUAUACUAGAUAUAUUCUCCCGAAUUACGCUAGCUGGGCUUAAUUACAGUUCACUUAGAUCGCACCCAAGGUUUCAUUAUCUCUAAUCCGACCUUUAAACCCUUCGUAUUGAUCCUUCAUAUACAUUAGGAGUGAUGUUGUUCAACAACUACCUAAAUAUGCACUCUCUCCUGAGUAAUACGUACUAAAUAGGCACAAUCGAUUGAGGGUCCUUCAAUCAACAACAAUCACAAUAUAGUUGAACAAACAGAGAAAAUACUAUGGUAAAUCUAUGUUAACAUAAUAAGAAAUUUAUCCUCCAAGAGGUUCCCUCAAAACCCUAGGUUAGAAGUUUAGCUAUGCAUAAUCGUUUCCACAAUCAUAGCAAUAGAAUUCAUCAUCAAUGAUAAAAACAAGAGGAAGAAAGGUAAAAACUCUAUGCCGAAUCUUCCGUCUUGCUUCUUGCUUGUUCUUGCCUUCAAAAUCCCUUCAAAAACCUUGAUACCUUCUUUUUGGGCGAGCUAGGCUUCUUAUAGGUCAAGGAGAGUCGCCCCUGAACUUACGAAUUUACCCCUGAAAUAAAAUUCCUCGGAGGGACGAGUGCGGCUGUAGUUGUACCGCGGUUGGACCGCGCAUAAUGCCUUCCUUUCUGCCUGACGAGCGCGGCUGCGAUUGGCCCUCGUUCCUGGAGUUCAGUCUGUCUUCCAUUUUUUUCCUUCUUCUUUUGCGCGCACUCACCCCCCGAUUAGCCUUCCUUGCUCCAAAUUAACUCCAAACACUCUUUAAUGUCCUCAUAGUCAGGAAAUGCUCCUGCAAAGCACAAAGUUCAUAAUUAGAGCCAUUUUUUGUCAUUUAACAUUCAUAUAACAAUAAAGUAUAGCUUAGUUGGAGCGUAAAUGGUAGCUAAACUACAUAAUUAUCCCCUACUAUCAAUACCCCACACUUAAAUCAUUGCUCGUCCCCGAGCAAUCAAACCAUACUCUACAGAGGCUUACUUCACUUAGCAACUUCUCUAACUCAUCACACCAAGAACAUAUCACAAGGAUUGAGCCCAGUAGUGUAACAUCUUCGCCUCAAGAGUUGACUCUCAUAUGCCACGCACUACUCCUAACUUACUCACUUACUCUAACGCAGAGGUUAAAACUCACCUUUCCUUUAUGAAUCAAGUGCCCUCUCAUAACAACCGAGAGUAGUUCCACACACAAUACAAGUUAAGAACACUUAGGAACAUUCAUAUGCCACAAAAAAUGUACCAUAGGCUUUCCCGUAGUGUAAUACUCCACUAAUCGAGCUCAUUCAGUCUAGGAUCAAGUAGGACUUCAUUUGGUUGUAAUGUAGGUUGCGGAACGGGUAUGAUACAUUUAGAUAUAAAAGUGACUACACCUCCCUGAGUACUUUAAUACAUACAUCUUAACAUUUAAGGCCCUACUUAUGUCAAACCAAACUCCACCUUUUCAUCCAUGUGUAUCACCCCAUACUUAUUUAAGAAUAAUUAUAUCAAGAGUCACCACUUAUCAAUGAAUAUAUAUAUAUUCACAACAAUACAACUAUUUUUCUGUUUUCUUUCUUUUUCAAUUCAAGUGACUCUUACAUUUUCAAAACAGUGCACCUUUCUCCUUAUUUCAUUAGUUCCACUAAAAAGCUAAACCAAACACCCCACACUUUAACUUUUACAAAGUUCAUAACUAUUGAAGUUCUCAUGAGAGGUUCAAAGGUUUAAAUAAAUGGUCAAUUCAAACAUAUGGGUAAGGCUUGUAAUGUAGCUGUCAAAGAAACAUGAUUACAUGCUCAAAGGGGUUAACUACGAUAUAUAACAGCUAGGUGGGUAAAGUAUAUAUAUAGCUCAACAAAGAAAUGCUUAUAUCACUUCCAAGACUGAAUAAAAUUACUAUUUCGCUUUGCAAACACAUGGGACAAGUUUUAGGCAUCAAAUGCAGUGCACAAAAUACAACAAAUCUCACACACACAUGGUACAUGACUCAGUCCAGAUUGGAUCAUCGAAACACUCUAGUCAGAGUACUUAAGCCAAGUUAAGAACAUACAAUUUAAGGUACUCUAACAAGAAUCAACAACUAAGCCUAAGCGUCACACUAAAGUAUCUACUAUAUUCAAGGCAUAAUGACGUUAAGAGAUCCUCCUUCCAUAUCAGCCCAUAUACAACAAGUACCUAACUAAAAAUUAAAAACUAACUAACCCGAUUCAAACAAAAACCCUUGGAAAAGAACCACGGUCCAAAGAAAAACCAAGGGGUAAUUGAUACACUACCUACAAAAGAAUUUUUUUUAUCGGCUCAGACCUUCAAGAAACCCGUCGAGUGAUAUCUGUCGUCGGGAAAAGUCAAAAAUUUGAACUUUUCACAUAUUCACACAUUCAGACAACUAACCGAAAACCAAAAUCAAGCUACGUUCCUAUAUAUAUACAACAUACAAAUAAAGUAUCCCCCACCCCACACUUAAAAAGAUGUCAUGUCCUUAUGUCAUGAAGUAGAAAGUAAUGCGAGGCAAAGGAACUUCCCUGAAAGAUCAGUCUUGAUCAGAGACAGUGCGGGGGUCUAAGUGACACGCCCUCCCUAGCACACGCAGCCAGCCCAUGAUUUUCUUCUCUGAUUUAUCAUUUUGGGUGUCUAAGGCAUCAACUCUAGUCCCCAAGUUUGUGACAGUCGUACGCAGCCCUGCCAUUUCCUACUCUAAGGCUGCCAGCAGCGUAAUCCGACCGACCCCGGACGGUUCUUCGGCGUCUGCAACUUGCUCAUGGGUGGGCGACUCAGCCCCCGCGUCAUCCUGCUCAUCAUCACCCUCCUCAAGUGUAUUAGAAUCAUCACUAUUAGCACCUUCAUGUGCCAUAGGGUCCUUCUCAAUAGUCACUUUAUCCGCCCGAAAAUUUGCUUCUUUCUUCACUUUUCCAUCCACACUCAAGUUCUCCGGUACCCGUGCUGCCCGACAUAAUCUAGUGAGUAGGGAAGGGAAGAAGAAACCAUACCGCCACACUGGACAAUGGAUGAACAUCUCUUCGUAAAUAAUCUUGGCCAUGUCAAAAUUUUGGCCAUUCAUAAAACACCAAAUCAAUGCAGCUCCAAGACCAUUUACUUCAGUGGUGUUGGAAGAAGGGAGCAGGCGGCUAUUGAUGAUAUACAGCCAACACUUCUCUUCAAAGGUGAGUGCCGCCGAAUGAAACUUCUUCCCAGGUAGAAUCUACACAACUUCCUUGUCGGGCACACAUAUUAUUUCAAAGAACAAAUCCCACGUGGUGAAUCGUUUGCCAUGGGCUUCAUAGUAGUCCUACGCCCCAGGUAUGGGCAGCCGGUAUGCUCUCCGAAUGGCCUUAACAAAUGCGUCCACAUUUUUCUUUCUCACCAUGCAAACAUCGUUUACAUGUUCUAGAAGGUUCACGUAAAACUCCCGCACAACCAUCAAAUUAGCUUCAUCCGGUUCUUCAAAAGAAAUAUCCAGCCCGCGCUAGAACAAUUCAUUGUCAUGUUGGGAUAAUUAUAUUUUAGAGACCUUAUAUCAAUACCCCUCUCCGGUAUGGGCUUCUUGGAUGCCUAGUGACCAAAACGGUCCUGAGCUACGCUGGAGACGAAUUUGGAACUAUCAUACUAACGAGCAGGAUUUGAGGCUCGUGCCCUGGAGGAUCCAACUUGGCCACUGGAGAAAGCACCGGUGGUUCGAUGUUUCUUGGAGGGCGUCAUACUACCCGAAACAAAUAUCACUAUUAGCGAAGCAUAAAAUAUGUGAACCAAGGGAGGUUACUCAGACUUCACUCGCACAAUUAGUCACAAUGUACAUUUAAAACUCCCUGUGGCAUUUAAACAAACACUGUAUAUGCACAAUUCACUGGAAUCCCCAAAUAACAAAUUGAUAAUCCAAACUCAACCACAGUUAACCCAAUGUCACCACACAUGUCAAGAGAUACAUCUACUACAACCUCAACAAGCCCACUAGGGUACAAAGGCACAACACUAAAGAAAUCUACUAAAGAAGAAGAAAACUACUAUAUAACCAAGAACUCAAAUAUCCCAACAAUAAUAUAAACAAGUGACCUUACCUGGUGGAGUUAUAGGUAUGUUAUGUGAGGGGAAACUGUUAGAACAGAAAAGAGGGUGGAGUGGGUAUGGGUUGAUUGUUUGAUGUGAGAGUAUGAGGGUUGGGGUUCUUUGGGAAGAAGGAGAAAGGGGUAUGUGUUGUGAUUUUUAUGAGAGGGUUUUGGAUGGAGGGACGGUUAUUUUGGACUUAAGAGAAAAAGGGUGCGGGAAAUCAGGUUUGGGGGGAGGGAUAUUAACACAAAAAAUAAAAAAAUAUGAAAUAUAAAAUAACAAAAAAUAAUACGCUAACUAAGCUUGCAGCCGGAGCUACGUGCGCGGUCAUACCGUGGUCCGAGCGCGUCCAUACACGUGAGAGAGAAUGUUGGUCGAUUUGCGCGGUCUGUCCGUGGUCCGACCGUGGCUGCGAUUGUUGCAAUUUACGCGAGGCAGAAAGGAAGUCAAUAUGCACAGUUUAAGUGCGGCCGCGGACCUGACUCUGGGAUUUUUCCUCUCUCGCCACUUUUUACCUAUCUCUGGGUUGAUCCCUUCAGCGCCUGAUGGACUUAUCACUCGCCCAAACUCACCUACACUUGUCAGUACCUAAAAAAAUAAAAAUAACAAAUUCUAACUACAUAACAAUCACUACGCAAUGGGUUGCCUCCCAACAAGAGCCUUAGUUAAUGUUAUGGCACGACGAAUACAACAAAUCAAUGGGUUGUCUCCCAUGAAACACCUGAUUUAACAUCGCGGCACGACGUAGAUAAGCGUAUUUAAAGUACGCUCAACAUUAGAGGCUCGAUCAAAUGGUUCACUGAUAUUGCCUUUACUUCCUCCAUGCCCAUAUAAUAUUUUAAUCUAUGCCCAUUGACUCUGAACGCGCAAGAGUCAUUACUCGUAUCAAUCUCUACAGCACCCGUGGGGUGAAUUUCAACCACAUGAAAAGGGACUGACCAUCGUGAUUUUAAUUUGCCCGGAAAUAACUUUAGUCGUGAGUUGUAUAGCAAUACCGUAUCUCCAGGUUUAAAAUUCCACUCAAUAAUAUUUCUAUCAUGUAUCAUCUUCAUUCUCUCCUUGUAUAAUCUUGUUCUCUCAAAAGCGUGAUAUCUGAAUUCAUCGAGCUCGUGAAACUCCAUUACUCUACUUGUUCCCGUAGCUACAAUAUCAAGAUUCAACUGUCUCAAUACCUACCAAGCUCUAUGCUCCAACUCUACUGGUAAAUGACACACUUCCCAAACACCAACUUGUAUGGCAUUAUGCCGAUUGGAGUUUUAAAGGCGGUUCGAUAAGCCCAAAGUGCAUCAUCUAACUUCCUCGCCCAAUCUGUUCUAGUAGCAUUCACAGUCUUAGUCAGCACACUCUUUAUUUCUCUGUUCGAGACUUCCACUUGCCCGCUUGUUUGUGGAUGAUAUGGGGUGGCCACCUUGUGGCAUACAUCAUACUUCUCCAACAACUUUGUGAAGGCUUGAUUACAAAAGUGAGUGCCUCAGUCACUGAUUAUUGCCCUUGGGGUGCCAAAUCGGGUGAAGAUGUUCUUUCUCAAAAAACCAAUUACCCCCUUUGCAUCAUUUGUAAAGAGUGCUAUAGCUUCCACCCAUUUGGACAAGUAGUCCACAGCGACGAGUAUGUACUUGUUGCCAUAUGAGCUGACGAAAGGCCCCAUGAAAUCCAUCCCCCAUACAUCAAACAUUUCUACCUCCUGAAUUGGGUUCAUGGGCAUCUCAUGUCUAUGGGAAAUGUUCCCGGUUUGUUGGCAUUCAUCACAGCUCUUUACCCAUAAAUGUGCAUCUUUUAACAAUGUUGUCUAGUAGAAGCCCGACUCCAAGACCUUCGCAACUGUCCUCACUCCCCUGAAGUGCCCACCAUAUGGUGAAGUGUGGCAUGCCUGUAAAAUAGAAGAUUGUUCUAUCUCGGGGAUACAUCUUCGGAUCAUGUUAUCAAUACAAAUCCUAAACAGAUACGGCUUAUCCCAAUAGUACAUGCGACAAUCAUGAAAGAACUUUUUCUUUUGAACAAAGGAAAGGUCAUAAGGAACAAUACCGCUCGCCAAGUAGUUUGCAAUGUCUGCAUACCAUGGCGCUUCCUCGAGACUCGUGGCUAGUAGUUGUUCAUUUGAGAAACUUUCCAGAAUCUCUUCUACCUCAACCUUCUUCUCAGCUUCUUCCAGCCUAGACAAAUGAUCAGCUACUUAGUUCUCCGUUCCCUUUCGGUCACGGAUUUCCAAAUCAAAUUUUUGCAGCAAUAGUACUUAUCGAAUCAGGUGCAGUUUUGAAUCCUUCUUCUCGAUUAAGUACUUGAGAGCAGCAUGGUGAGUGUAAACAAUUACCUUCGAACCUAUCAGGUAUGACCUGAAUUUGUCAAAUGCGAACACCAUUGCCAGUAUCUCCUUCUCGGUUACAGUGUGAUUUAACUGGGCUCCAUUCAGCGUUCUACUUGCGUAGUAUAUUGGAUGCAUCAUUUUAUCCUUUUGCUGCCCAAGAAUUGCUCCCACAACAUAAUUACUCGCAUCACACAUCAUCUCAAAUGGUUGCUCUCAGUCGAGUGCAACUAUGAUAGGUGUUGUUACCAGUCUCUUCUUUAAUUCCUCAAAAGCUACCCUGCAGUCAUCAGAAAACAAAAAGGGUGAUCUUUUUCAAGCAAUUUACAUAAGGGGUUAGCAAUUUUGGAAAAAUCUUUUAUAAAUCUCAUAUAGAAACCGGCGUGCCCAAGGAAACUUUUGAUUGCUUUCACAAAAGUGGGUGGUGGAAGCUUUUCUAUCACAUCAAUCUUUGCACGAUCUACCUCAAUACCUUUACUUGACGCUAGGUGCCCCAAGACUAUACCUUCCUAUACCAUAAAAUGGCAUUUUUCUCAAUUGAGAGUCAGAUUAGUGUCCAUACACCUUUUCAAAUCUCUUCUCAAGUUCACAAGGCAAUCAUCGAAUGAGUUCCCUACCACUGAGAAGUCAUCCAUGAAAACCUCCAUUAUCUCCUCUACCAUAUCUAUGAAUAUGGCCAUUAUGCACCUUUGGAAUGUGGUGGGUGCGUUGCAUAGUCCAAAUGACAUUCAUCGAAAAGCAUAGAUUCCAUAAGGGUAGGUGAACGACGUUUUCUCUCUAUCCUCUGGGGCAAUAGAAAUCUGAUUAUACCCCGAGUACCCAUCCAGAAAGCAGAAAUGAGACCUCCCUACCAAUUUAUCUAGCAUCUGAUCAAUGAAUGGCAGUGGGAAAUGGUCCUUCCUAGUAGCCAAGUUCAACUUCCUGUAAUCCAUGUAGAUGCGCCAACCUGUGACUAUUCGUGUAGAGAUCAACUCGUUCUUCUCAUUUUUCACUACCGUCAUACCUCCUUUUUGGUACACAUUGCACUGGACUAACCCAGUUGCUGCCAGAGAUUGGGAAUAUGAUUCCCGCAUCCAACCACUUAAUAACUUCCUUUUUCACCACUUCUUUCAUGUUGGGGUUCAACAUUCUUUGAUGUUCUCUUAAAGGUUUGUGCCCAUAUUCCAGUAGAAUCUUAUGCAUACAGAAGGCCGGGCUGAUCCCCUUAAUGCCUGCAAUGGUCCACCCAAUUGCAUUCUUACACUCAGUCAGUACCUGCAAAAGUUGGUCUGCCUGCACAUCUAACAAACUGGCUGAGAUAAUAACAGGUAAAGUUGAGUCAGGUCCUAAGAAUGCAUACCUGAGAUGGGAUGGCAGUGGCUUCAGUUCCAACUUUGGUUGCUCUUCUAUCGAUGGCUUAGCUAGAGGAGUUUUUCUUUCCUCUAAGUGCAAGGGCUCAAAUUCAAGCUCCCUUAUCCAAAAACCUCGGCCUUCCAGAGCCAGUACCCACUCUGCCAAGUCUUCACUAUUACUUCAUCUAAGUUCACGAGACAAGCUGCUAGAGGGUCUUUAAUGUUCAGUGCCUCAUCUUCCUCCACAAGACUACAUCCACCGCGUCUAUUAGAGAGCAAUUUGCAAAUUCACUUGGUCUCCGCAUAGAUUUCUUCACGUUGAAUGUUAUCUCUUCAUCAUUUAAUCUCAUCUUGAGCUCUCCAAUUACACAAUCAAUUAAGGCUCUCCUAGUGGCCAAGAAUGGUCUUCCCAAAAUUAUGGGAAUUUCCUCAUCAACCCAACUGUUAAGGAUGGCAAAAUCUGCUAGGAACACAAACUUCCCAACCUGUACCAAUACAUCAUCUAGAAUCCCAGAGGGCCUCUUCACUAUUUGAUCAGCCAGCUGUAGUAACAUAAACGUGGGUCUAGCUCUUCCAAUGCCUAGCCUUUUGUAGAUAGCCAGGGGCAUAAGGUUUAUGCUUGCUCCUAGAUCACACAGUGCCUUAGCAAAUGCAAAGUUGCCUAUUGUGCAAGGGAUUGUGAUACUCCCAUGGUCAGACAACUUCUCAGCUAUGGGUAUCGUUACAUUAGCACUGCAGGUUUGAGUUAGUGUAAACAUGGACAAGUCUUGAAAGUCGAACUUGCGGGACAUCAAGUCCUUCAUCAUCUUCGCAUAACCAAGCAUCUCCUUUAAAACAUCAAUCAAUGGAAUGUUUACCUAAAUUUGCUUUCUCCAAGAAUUUCUUGUACUGCUCAUCUUUAUGAUACUUGGACAAUCUCUGUGGGAAUGGUGUUGGAGGUCACUUUUUCCCUGUGAUCUGAUUUUUCUCUUAUCCAGGCACUGCUUCCACUAUCAGAUCCGGUGCAACCUCUGUCUCUUUCACAAAUUCUUCUUCCUUGUUGAUGUUCUCUUGCGCCUGUUGUAUCGUCACCUCAGUUAACCCUGCUGAAUUGUCUAUCUCUACGGGUAUUAGCACCAAUAUCUUCGUCGGUCUGCUUUCACAAGCAAUGUUUUGCUCCCGAUCUAAGUCUCUACCAUUUCGGAGACUCACUACCAUCAGAUGCUUUGGGCCCUACUCUUUUGGAUUGAUUUGGGUGUUUGCAGGUAAUGUCCCAUGAGGACAAUUAUUUAAGGCCAUGGAAAUAUGUCCUAAUUGGAUCUCAAUAUUCUUUAUUGCUGACUCAUAUGAGUCUAACUGUCAGUUAGUUUUCCAGUGGACCCAAUAACUUGUUGCAUCAUUCUCUCAAGUUUAGAAAACCCAUCUUCAUGUCCCAUAGACUGUUAUUAUAGAGGUUGUUGAUAAGCCUGUUGCUGAUUUUGCUGGUUGUAACCCGGUUGCCUUUGGUAAGGCACCAUUUGACCCUGUGGUCGCAUAGCCCCAUGGUUAUUGUUGUUGUUGUACUGCUGCUGAGUUGGUCUAUAUUGUUGAUUCUGCUGACCCCAAUUCUGAACACUUGGUCUCGGUCCCCGUAAUUGGCCACAUAAUUCAUGUUCUCCUGAUAUUGUUGGUUAUCCACGAGCAAACAUAUGGUUGAUUAAUGCAUGAUGUACAUAAACCCCCCAUUAGUUGUAUCAACUAUGUGUACCUGCUGCUUCUAGCCUGAUUCAUCAACCUUUUUGGUGAGGAUGCUCAUUUGUGUCAGUAGAGUGGCCAUAUUUUUAGCUAUGGAGUUAGUCAGGUCUAACGCCACUGAGUGAACCACAUGAGUGAUUGGAGCAUUUCUUGUCGUCCAUCCUGAGUUUUGUGUCAUCUUGUCAAGUAGGAUCUUGCUUUCUCUGAAUGUUUUGCUCAAAAAUGCUCCACCUGCUGAAGCAUCAACAUUGACUUUCAAACUAUCUGCCAAACCCAUGUAAAAUCUCUGCCCCAACAUCUGCUGCGGAAUACCACAAUGUGUAUACGUAACUAGUAGACCCUUGAAUCUCCCCCACGUUUUUUGUAACGUAUCUGUUGGUUUCUGUCUGAAGCUCAAUAUCUUAUCAUUUUGCUAAGCAGUCUUGUUGGAUGGGUAAAAUUUGUUCACAAAUUGCUUGACUAAUUCCUCCCAACUAGUGAUGGAAUUUAUGGGGAGUUAAUUAAGAAAAGUCUGAGCUGCCCCAGUCACUGAGAAUGGAAAUAACAACAGACGUAUUGCUUUCGGUGUCACGUUAUGUUACCUCUGUAUGGCACAGAUUGACAGGAAAUUCUUCAGAUGCUGCUGAGGAUCUUCAACGUAUGACUCAGAGAAUAGUCCCUUGUUCUGCAAUAAAUGUAGCAUAUUAUUUGUGAUCUGGAAUGAAUUCGCUUAUAUCUGAGGGACUACAAUGGCAGUUAAUAAGUUAUUAGUGGUGGGUUGUGCCCAAUCAUAUAGUGCUGCUUCUAGCACAAGAGGCACCAUACCCUGAUCAUUUGGGUCAUUUACGUUGUUCCUAUUAUUUGGGUCAUUCUCGUUGUCUCUGUUGUUUAGAUUAUCGUCUUCCAUGUCUGGUUCAAUUUUUUCGGUUGAGUUCUAUUGUUGUUUGUCUUUCUUGUUUGCAUGGUUCAAUGCCUUGAAUACUUUCUCAGGAUCUGAUAAUGCUUCAAACAAUUCACCAGUUCUUGAGGAGUGUCUAGGCAUGCACCUGUAAUAACCACGGCUACAAACGUUAGAAUUUCAAUUAUUAGUUUAAAUUGAAGAAAAUUGACUACAGUAAGAAUUUUUGCACUUCUUUUUAACUUCAAUUAAUAACACUAUUAAUUCCCCGGCAACGACGCCAAAAUUUGAUCACGCCCAACUACACCUUAUAAAAAGGAAAAAGCGGUCGUUGCAAAUAUAUUCUGAUUAACAAGUCCAGAGUCGAAUCUCACAGGGAAUUAACUUAUCAAUCACAGCUAUUGAACACACAAAAAUUCACGUAUUCAAUUUUCAGGAUAUUUGAAUAACAAAUUGGGUGUUUAUUAACUAAAUGUUACGUAAUAAAAAUGCAGCAAUAAGAACUAGCUAUAAACGGUUUAUAAGCAAGAAUGGGAAUGGUCUAAGGUUCUGAUUUCCCCUCUUGUCGGAAUCCUUUCCGCUAUGUUUGUAAUAAAUUUGCCUAAGUCUUCUCUAUCGAUCAUGAGCACUCUGACUGUCGUAAAUCUCUCCCGAGUAAUUACAAUAAUAUAUUAGACAUAUUCUCCUGAAUUACGCUACCUGGCCUUAAUUACAGUUUACUUAGAUCGCACUCAAGGUUUCGUUAUCCCUAAUCCCACCUUUAAACCCUUCGUAUUGAUAUCUCAUAUACGUUAGAAGUGAUGUUGUUCAACAACUACCUAAAUAUGCACUCUCUCCCGAGUAAUACAUACUAAAUAGGCACAGUCGAUUGAGGGUCCUUCAAUCAACAACAAUCACAAUAUAGUUGAACAAACAGAGAAAAUAUUAUGGCAAAUCUAUGUUAACAUACCAAAAAAUUCAUCCUCCAAGAGGUUCCCUCAAAACCCUAGGUUAGAAGUUUAGCUAUGCAUAAUCGUUUCCACAGUCAUAGCAAUAUAAUUCAUCAUCAAUGAUAAAAACAAGAGGAAGAAAGGUAAAAACUCUAUGCCGAAUCUUCCGUCUUACUUCUUGCUUGUUCUUGCCUUCAAAAUCGCUUCAAAAACCUUGAUAGCUUCUUUUUGGGCGAGCUCGUCUUCUUAUAGGUCAAAGAGGGUCGCCCUUGAACUUACGAAUUUACCCCUGAAAUAAAAUUCCUCGGAGGGACGAGCGCAGCCGCGGUUGGACCGCGCAUAAUACCUUCCUUUCUGCCUGACGAGCGCGGCCGCGGUUGGCCCGCGCUCUUGGAGUUCAGUCAGUCUUCCAUAUUUUUGCUUCUUCUUUUGCGCGCACUCACCCCCGAUUGACCUUUCUUGCUCCAAAUUAACUCCAAACACUCUUUAAUGUCCUCAUAGUUAGGAAUUGCUCCUACAAAGCACAAAGUUCAUAAUUAGAGCUAUUUGUUGUCAUUUAACAUUCAUAUAACAAUAAAGUAUAGCUAAGUUGGAGCGUAAAUAGUAGCUAAACUACAUAAUUAUCGUCUACUAUCAAUAUCUAUUUUGAUUCAGAUGUCUUAAUCUUAAUACACAUCUUGAUAUUCAGACAUGUAUUCAGAUUCAGAUGUCUUAAUCUUAAAAAAAAUAAAUGAGGCCUUAGUGCCAUAAAAUAUGUACAGUUAGACAUUUCUAUAACAACAUCUUUAUAUAAAAAUCAUUUACUAUAAAAGUCAAGUUUUUUUGGAACAGAUUUUUAUGUUAUGUUAUAAUUUAUGUUCUUUAUAACAACACCUCACUAUAGCAGCCAAAAAAUAUCGGAACAAACGAGGCUGUUAUAGAGAGGUUUGACUGUAUAAAAAAAGGGUAGUUCGGUGGACAAAGCAUUCCAUAUUCACAUAGGUUCUGGGAAGGGCCGCAUCUCAGAGGGUCUGAUGUAGACAACGUACUCUAACCUAUGCAUUAGUGACCGCUUUCACGGAUCGAAACUAUGACCUUUAGGCUACACAUAGACAAUUUUAACGUUGCUCCAAAACUCCCUUUCAAUGUCCGAGGAAGGACCGUACUCUAGGAAGUGUGAUAUAGACAGCCUACCCUAAUACAAGUAUUAGUGUCUACUUCUACGGCUUAAACCCGUAACUUAUUGAUUAUUACGGCAUAUAGUGCCAUAAAAUAUACUAUUAUUAUGCCAAUUAAGAAUGUUUUAAGUUUGAUGCAUGGGAUGACUUGGGGGAGCUUGGCUAUUUCAUGCUGAGGUGAAAUAAGGCCGGUAAAUGACUGACUUACUAGCUAGCUACUUCUUCUAUUUAUCAUUAUUAGGGGUCGUUUGGUAGCAUGCAUUAGAUAAGCUAAUGCAUGCAUUGGCUUUGUAUAUUAAUAAUAUAUUGUUUGGUAGAUAUUUUGAAUCUAUGCAUUAGUUAUGCAAGCAUUAGUUAUACAUCCUAUUUGGUAUUAUCCUAUGCAUAACUAAUGCAUAAAAAACAAUGGUAUUAGUAAUGCAAUGGGUUUUAAUGCAUGUAUUAGCUUAGUUAAAAACAAAAUUGUCCUUCAAAAUUUAUGCUUGAUUAAAAUAUGUUAGUUAUUAUAUUAAUGCAAGUUCAAAAUAAUCCAAAUAGUGAGAAAUAAAAUUAUAUCCCUAGUAAAUAAAUAAAUACUUAGCAUAUUUCCUUUUUUAUAAAUAAAUAUUUAAUUUUAUUUUACAAUAUAGGUAGACAAAUAAAAUAAUUUUUUAAACUUUUUCAUNNNNNNNNNNNNNNNNNNNNNNNNNUUCAGCAUUAUUCUUAUACAUCCUACCAAACGACCCCUUAGAGUGAAGUAACAUUUGAUUUAACUUUGUGAAAGGCGUCAUAUUAUAUUAGACUCAUCCUCAGUCUUGUUGUCAUACUUAGAAUUCAAACAAAAUAUGCUCAUUCGUAGUUUUAUUUUGUAUUUCAUACAACUGACAUUAGUUGUGUGAGGCGGCUUUUUGUCUCAUAAAUUUGUGGACUCCAAUCUUACACUUCUGGACUCAUAAAAAUCCGGGUCUACAAAACUGUGAGACAAAAAAAAUGCCUCAUACAACUAGUGUCAAUUGGAUGAGACACAGAAUAAAAAAUUUCGUCCAUUCCUUUCUGGUCAUAUAAGAUCGUUGGCGGAUUUGUUUGCCUAAAAAUGACUUUGACAAAGGAAAUUGUAGUAUUUGAACGUAAAUAUUAGUUUAGAAGAUUUUCCAAUUUUCUCCUCGGCAACUAAGUGGGUGUUUGGACAUAAGAAUUGUGAAAUACGUGAAAAUGCUAUUUGAAUAUUAGAAUUGUGUUUGGACAUAAAUACAAUAUGAAGUUAUUUUUGAAUUUUGUGAGUGAUUUGAAGUGAAAAUAAUUAAAAAAGAAUUUUUGGGUGUUUUUCAUAUUUCUAGAAACGUUUCGAAAUUCAACUUCGGCUAAAAUUUGAAAUUUUCAUGGCCAAAUAAAUAUUCCAAAAAAAAGAAGAAAAAAAUUCCAAAAAAGUACUUCCUCCGUUCCAAUUUAUGUGAACUUGUUUGACUGAACACGAAAUUUUAAGAAAAAAUGAAGACUUUUGAAAUUUGUGAUCCUAAACAAGCCAAAAAAGUGCCCAGAGUAUUUAUGUAGUUAUACAAGCUUCUCAUUAAGGGUAGAAUUAUAAGUUUAAGAUAAAUUAUUACCGUAUUUAGAAAGGGGUCAUUCUUUUUUGAACGGACCAAAAAAAAAA